UAGGAUGCAUCUAACGAACAAAAACGAGAAGCCUGUAAUUAAUUAGACACAUUAUUAAAUAGUUUAAAAAUACACCUGUAAAGACUGAAAAUUUAUAUAUGUCCACCAUUAAUAAAAAAAAAAAAGAAACCCAACAUCACCAACAUAUCCUUAAAACAAAUAAACCAAUUAAUUAUUUACUUUUUUACAAUUUAUGUUAUCAUUCCAUAAAGAACUAACGAAAUAUAAAAAUCGCGGUAAGGUAAAGAAACUUAAUAUGAAAUUGUUAGAACUGAUCUUUAAUUUAGCCAAUUAAAAUAAAGAUGCCUAGAGGAGAUAAAUAAUUAGCUAGUAAAGAACCUGCAUGUAUACAUGCUCAAGAAA
rnacentral:lncRNA from 1 species